UACAGAGGGCUCAAGCGUUGUUCGGAUUCAUUGGGCGUAAAGCGCGCGUAGGCGGCCCGGUAAGUCCGUUGUGAAAGUCAAAGGCUCAACCUUUGAACGCCGAUGGAUACUGCCGGGCUAGAGUCCGGAAGAGGCGAGUGGAAUUCCUGGUGUAGCGGUGGAAUGCGCAGAUAUCAGGAGGAACACCAAUGGCGAAGGCAGCUCGCUGGGACGGUACUGACGCUGAGGCGCGAAAGCGUGGGGAGCGAACAGG
rnacentral:rRNA from 1 species